ACACAUGCAAGUCGAGCGGCAGCGCGGGGCAACCUGGCGGCGAGCGGCGAACGGGUGAGUAAUGCAUCGGAACAUGUCCAUGUCGUGGGGGAUAGCCCGGCGAAAGCCGGAUUAAUACCGCAUACGCCCGAGAGGGGAAAGUGGGGGACCGCAAGGCCUCACGCGAUUGGGUUGGCCGAUGUCCGAUUAGCUAGUUGGCGGGGUAAGAGCCCACCAAGGCGAUGAUCGGUAGCUGGUCUGAGAGGAUGAUCAGCCACACUGGGACUGAGACACGGCCCAGACUCCUACGGGAGGCAGCAGUGGGGAAUUUUGGACAAUGGGGGCAACCCUGAUCCAGCCAUUCCGCGUGAGUGAAGAAGGCCUUCGGGUUGUAAAGCUCUUUUGUCCGGAACGAAACGGUUGGCGUGAAUAUCGCCGACUACUGACGGUACCGGAAGAAUAAGCACCGG
rnacentral:rRNA from 1 species